CAGGUGUUUUUCUUUAAGCCAAACUUUAAUACACAUUUACACGCACAUGUGCACACAUAGUGUAUACAUAUUCUCACAAACACACAGCCUCAUACCUUUUUCUCCAUCAUCUCGGCUUUUCUUUCUUUCUUUUUUUUUACACUAACCUCUUUUUCACCAGUUUGUUCCACGUUGUGAAAUGACCCUUUGUCAUUAGGCAUAUGACAUCUGUAGAACUCCCCAUCACAAAUAGAAUCUUAGCACCCCCCUGGUACAAUCAUUGUAUCCAAGGAGGGAUUGUACACAGAUAGGCCUCAUGGGAAACAUGAGGCCUCUGGAUCAGAGAACAGCCCAUUUGGUACUCAUAGAGCAUCUCAGUGUGGGUUCCUUUGUUCCCUAACCUCCAAAAAGUGGAUGUAACGAAGUCAUGAUGCCACCCUUCACAUGCAGCAAAUAUGCACAACAAGAGAGGAACUCCAAAAUUGUAACCCUCAGACUCUAUGAACUUCAUCUAGAGGAACAUUUCUACCUUCUAGCUGUGCCUGUCAGUCAUGGAGUAAAGCUAGCUAAAUGCACCAACCCUGAAGACAGCCACUUCUCCUGGUGAGAUAUCUUGUCAUCUAGAAUGGUACUGGGGGCAAUGAUGAGUAGGGACAGUUUGCAAAUGCUUUGGCCACAGAUCUAAAUACACCCUACAAGGUUAGUUUUUCCUCAACCAAAGCUAAUAUUUUAAUUCCAUAUGAAUGUCUCUGUACCUUUUUUCUCAAGUUGACCCAGAGUUGAGAAGUGAAGAAAGGUAUAUUGUUUUUAACUGUCUUUAUGAACUAGGAUCCAAAAAUCUCACCAAGAUAACUGCUUGAUAUGAAAAUACAGUGCGUGAGAUCUAAAGUAAGAUUAGUGGAACAGACUUUUUGUCAUGAAAAUUAAAAGGCAAUAAACACUUAAUUUCAAAUAAUA